rnacentral:rRNA from 1 species
AGUGAACGCUGGCGGUAGGCCUAACACAUGCAAGUCGAACGGCAGCACAGUAAGAGCUUGCUCUUACGGGUGGCGAGUGGCGGACGGGUGAGGAAUACAUCGGAAUCUACUUUUUCGUGGGGGAUAACGUAGGGAAACUUACGCUAAUACCGCAUACGACCUACGGGUGAAAGCAGGGGAUCUUCGGACCUUGCGCGAUUGAAUGAGCCGAUGUCGGAUUAGCUAGUUGGCGGGGUAAAGGACCACCAAGGCGACGAUCCGUAGCUGGUCUGAGAGGAUGAUCAGCCACACUGGAACUGUGACACGUGCCAGACUUCUACGUGAUGCAGCAUUGUGUAAUAUUGGACAAUGGGCGCAAGCCUGAUCCAGCCAUACCGCGUGGGUGAAGAAUGCCUUCGUGUUGUAAAGCCCUUUUGUUGUGAAAGAAAAGCAGCAGGUUAAUACCCCGCUGUUCUGACGGUACCCAAAGAAUAAGCACCGGCUAACUUCGUG